AGCUCCCAGCCUAUCUGCGCGAGCUUCUGUGUCCUAAAUAACUUGGGAGUUACCAGUCUUCUUUAAGGAUCUGGUGUUCUAAAAGCAAAUUGCUCAAAUGUCGGUGUGCUCUCAUGAACAGAAACGAUGGCACGGUGGGUCCUGGUCUCAAGACUUCCUCUCAAUGAUUCAGAGGUCUUGGGGGUUUUUUGUCUGAAUAUCAGGCAAAGAGGAAGGACGGCUACAAUGGAGGAGUCUCCUACCACGCUUGUGGUCGUCACUGUAGUGCUCAGUUGAAUGGUGUGUCCAUUGGGGUUGGAGUCCCCAUCCUGUUCUGGGUCCUGGCCCCCCACAGGCUCCAGGGACAUAACCCUUCCAGUUCAGGAUCAUGUGCUGGGGCACUGUUCCCUGAGGUGGGACUCUGGGCUGUAACAGCUGCUUUUGAAGCAUGUUCCAGCUUCAACCACGUGCUUGGACGACACCAGCUCUUCCCACAUACUCUUCCCCAGCUCUUGUGUUGAGUUUGGCUUCCACCUUCCUCCAGCUGUAGAGACAGGGUUUCUCCAUGUGGGCCAGGCUGGUCUCGAAAUCCUGGCCUCAAGUGAUCUGCCCUUCCUCGGCCUCCCAACAUGCUGGG
rnacentral:lncRNA from 10 species